GACGAACGCUGGCGGCGUGCUUAACACAUGCAAGUCGAACGGUGAAGGGACCAGCUUGCUGGUUCUGGAUGAGUGGCGAACGGGUGAGUAACACGUGAGUAACCUGCCCCCUUCUUCUGGAUAACCGCAUGAAAGUGUGGCUAAUACGGGAUAUUCUGGGUCUGUCGCAUGACGGGCCCGGGAAAGAUAUUGCUUCGGUGGGGGAUGGGCUCGCGGCCUAUCAGCUUGUUGGUGGGGUGAUGGCCUACCAAGGCGGUGACGGGUAGCCGGCCUGAGAGGGUGGACGGUCACGCUGGGACUGAGACACGGCCCAGACUCCUACGGGAGGCAGCAGUGGGGAAUAUUGCACAAUGGGCGCAAGCCUGAUGCAGCGACGCCGCGUGAGGGAUGGAGGCCUUCGGGUUGUAAACCUCUUUCGCCAGUGAAGCAGGCCUGCUCCUUGUGGGUGGGUUGACGGUAGCUGGAUAAGAAGCGC
rnacentral:rRNA from 1 species